rnacentral:rRNA from 1 species
UACAGAGGUCCCAAGCGUUGUUCGGAUUCACUGGGCGUAAAGGGUGCGUAGGCGGUCGGGUAAGUCUGUCGUGAAAUCUCCGAGCCCAACUCGGAAACUGCGUCGGAUACUAUUCGGCUAGAGGAAUGGAGGGGAGACUGGAAUUCUCGGUGUAGCAGUGAAAUGCGUAGAUAUCGAGAGGAACACCAGUGGCGAAGGCGGGUCUCUGGGCCGAUACUGACGCUGAGGAGCGAAAGCGUGGGGAGCGAACAGG